rnacentral:rRNA from 1 species
AAAUAACGACUCUCGACAACGGAUAUCUCGGCUCUCGCAUCGAU